CACGUAGGCGGAUUGGAAAGUUGGGGGUGAAAUCCCGGGGCUCAACCCCGGAACUGCCUUCAAAACUCCCAGUCUUGAGUUCGAGAGAGGUGAGUGGAAUUCCGAGUGUAGAGGUGAAAUUCGUAGAUAUUCGGAGGAACACCAGUGGCGAAGGCGGCUCACUGGCUCGAUACUGACGCUGAGGUGCGAAAGCGUGGGGAGCAAACA
rnacentral:rRNA from 1 species